ACACAUCCUGGGCCCAAUUACGAGAGGGAUCCAUGCUCAGAUUCUUUGAUCUAUGAUCUGAAAAAAAAAGAUAAUAAAUUAAAUGUCUCAUCAUGGGAUCUAAGUGGCAUGCAAGAUGAAUACUUUAGUUAAGGCUUAACAGUCACCCGAGUCCAAUCAAAUUCUGUGUAACAUUCUCAGAAUCGCAACAUAAUAAUUUCAUAUCCAUAAC
rnacentral:sRNA from 1 species